rnacentral:rRNA from 1 species
AGCAGCCGCGGUAAUUCCAGCUCCAAUAGCGUAUAUUAAAGUUGUUGCAGUUAAAAAGCUCGUAGUUGAACUUCGGGGUCUACCCAUUGGUCAGGCUUAAUUGUCUGCACUGGUGAGAUGGAUCUCUACCUUCUGAGGAACUUUCAUGCCAUUUAUUUGGUGUGGUUGGGAAUCAGGACUGUUACUUUGAAAAAUUAGAGUGUUUAAAGCAGACUAUCGUCUGAAUACAUUAGCAUGGAAUAAUGAAAUAGGACGGACUGAUUCUAUUUCGUUGGUUUCUAGGAUCACCGUAAUGAUUAAUAGGGAUAGUUGGGGGCAUUAGUAUUCAAUUGUCAGAGGUGAAAUUCUUGGAUUUAUUGAAGACUAACUACUGCGAAAGCAUUUGCCAAGGAUGUUCUCAUUAAUCAAAGAACGAAAGUUAGGGGAUCGAAGACGAUCAGAU